AACAUGGCUGUCAUUGACAGUAGUCAACUUGGUUUAUUAACUUAAGUAAACAAACUGUUUACCAAUGGGUUCUUGAAAUGGAGAUCCUUUAUCAGUUUGUAUUUAUUUUGACAACUUUAACGCAACAAUUGGUAAUUGUACAUGGAGCAGGUACAUAUGGUAGUUAUUUUAUUCUGGGGGUACCGC